rnacentral:lncRNA from 1 species
GUCCAGUUGGAGCAAGGCCAGGCUGCCCACAGAAGAGGAAUAAAAAAAAUGGCUCCUUGCCUAGCUGUCCUGGUGCACACCUUUGAUCCCAGCACUCUGGAGGCAGAGGCAGGCAGAUCUCUAAUUUCAAGGCGAGCCUGGUCUGCAGAGCAGUUGGGGUUAAACAGAGAGAAACCCUGUCUCGAGAAACCAAAACAAAGGAGCAAAGAGGCAAACAAAAAAAACAGGCUCCUUGCAAGUUAGUAGAAAAGAGGCAAUGUAUCUACUAUAUGACUUAGGAAAAUAGAGCCAGUGUCUUUAAAGGACCCUUGUGUGCUCCCCAAAUUCUCCCCAAAUUCUCUCCAUUAGAGAUACCAUGUCCCUGAAUGUUGUACUAUUUCUUUGCCUUUCUUUCUUUGUAAGGUUUAGUUUUAUUUUAUAUGUGUGAGUAUUUUGUCAGCAUGUAAAUGCACCAGAUACAGGCCUGGUUCCCACAGUAGCCAGAAGAGGGCAUGGGAUUUUCUGAAACUAGAGUUCCAGACAGUUGUGAGCCUCCAUGUAUAUGCUGGGCACUGAACUCAGGUGCUCUGGGAGAGCAGCCAUGACCUCCUGAGAUGUCUCUGCAGCUCUGAGACUUUCUUGUUUCUCACUGCUGUCGUUUGCUUUGUUCAUUCCUGUUGUUGUUGAGCGUCCCUCGUGAUGGUCCGAGUAGCUGCAUUUCAUUUCUUUGCUGUAGUGCAUCUCCUUGUACAAGUAUUUUGGUUUUAUAGCGUCAUCUUUUCACUGGUAUGUGCAGUCACCAGGAUUGUUCAUCUUUAUUAGGUGGAGCAACAGAUGGCUGACAUUUUACUUUGUAUUUCUGUAAAUCCUAAUGAAGCUGAGCACCUUUUUGUUUGUUUGUUUUUUCUCAUUAAUGCUUUUGUUCUAUGUUGUUCUAUUGAGAUAGGGUCUCACUAUGAAACCUAAGCUGCCUGAGAACUCCUGAUUGUCCUGCCUCAGCCUUCUAAAUGAUGGGAUCAUAGGCCUGUACUGCUACUCAUAUUAGUUUGUGUUCAUAUUAGUGUGUGUGUGUGUCUGUGUGUGUGUCUGUGUGUGUGUGUGUGUGUCUGUGUGUGUGUGUGUGUGUGUGUCUGUGUGUGUCUGUGUGUGUCUGUGUGUGCCUGUGUGUGCAGGUGCACAUGCUCACACAUGAUGGGGGUGGGCAUGAAUGCAUAGCACACAAGUGCAGAUGGUCUCCCCUUCCACCUUUACAUGGGUUCUGGAUAUCAAGAUGCCAGGCUUUCUCAGCAAAUGCUUUUUAUUUGCUGAGCCAUCUCAUCUGCCCUCUUUCUUAAUGUUUUUUGUUUGGUUGGUUGAUUUGUUUUGUUUUUUGUUUUUUUCCCUGAGACAGAGUUUCUCUGUAUAGCCCUAACUGUCCUGGAACUCACUCUGUAGACCAGACUGGCCUUGAACUUAGAAAUCUGCCUCCCAAGUGCACCACCACUGCCUGGCUUAGAGGUUUUGCUGUUUGUUUGUUUGUUUGUUUAAAGCUGCUUUUUUUUUCAAUUAAACAGAUUUUAUUUUUC